UACGGAGGGUGCGAGCGUUAAUCGGAAUUACUGGGCGUAAAGCGCGCGUAGGCGGCUUAGUAAGUCGAUUGUGAAAGCCCCGGGCUUAACCUGGGAAUUGCAGUCGAUACUGCUUUGCUAGAGUGUGGUAGAGGGAAGCGGAAUUCCAGGUGUAGCGGUGAAAUGCGUAGAUAUCUGGAGGAACACCGGUGGCGAAGGCGGCUUCCUGGACCAACACUGACGCUCAGGUGCGAAAGCGUGGGUAGCAAACAGG
rnacentral:rRNA from 1 species